CCUACGGGAGGCUGCAGUGAGGAAUAUUGGUCAAUGGACGAGAGUCUGAACCAGCCAAGUAGCGUGAAGGAUGACUGCCCUAUGGGUUGUAAACUUCUUUUAUAUGGGAAUAAAAUGUUCCACGUGUGGGAUUUUGUAUGUACCAUAUGAAUAAGGAUCGGCUAACUCCGUGCCAGCAGCCGCGGUAAUACGGAGGAGCCGAGCGUUAUCCGGAUUUAUUGGGUUUAAGGGGAGCGUAGGUGGAUUGUUAGGUCACUUGGAAAUGUUUGCGGCUAAACCGUAAAAUUGCAGUUGAAACUGGCAGUCUUGAGUACAGUAGAGGUGGGCGGAAUGCGUGGUGUAGCGGUGAAAUGCUUAGAUAUCACGAAGAACUCCGAUUGCGAAGGCAGUUCACUGGACUGCAACUGACACUGAGGCUCGAAAGUGUGGGUAUCAAACAGGAUUAGAUACCCUAGUAGUC
rnacentral:rRNA from 1 species